rnacentral:rRNA from 1 species
UACGUAGGGUCCGAGCGUUGUCCGGAAUUAUUGGGCGUAAAGAGCUCGUAGGCGGCUUGUCGCGUCGACUGUGAAAACCCGUGGCUCAACCAUGUGGUCUGCAGUCGAUACGGGCAGGCUAGAAUUCGGUAGGGGAGACUGGAAUUCCUGGUGUAGCGGUGAAAUGCGCAGAUAUCAGGAGGAACACCGGUGGCGAAGGCGGGUCUCUGGGCCGAUAUUGACGCUGAGGAGCGAAAGCGUGGGGAGCGAACAGG